CGAGCGGUAAGGCCCUUCGGGGUACACGAGCGGCGGACGGCUGAGUAACACGUUGGAACGUACCCCAAAGUGAGGGAUAAGCACCAGAAAUGGUGUCUAAUACCGCAUGUGCUCUAAGGAGUAAAGCUCCGGCGCUUUGGGAACGGCCUGCGCAUGAUUAGCUAGAUGGUGAGGUAAUGGCUCACCAUGGCGACGAUCAUUAGCUGGUCUGAGAGGAUGAUCAGCCAGACUGGGACUGAGACUGGGCCCAGACUCCUACGGGAGGCAGCAGUAGGGAAUUUUCCACAAUGGGCGAAAGCCUGAUGGAGCAACGCCGCGUGCAGGAUGAAUGCCUUCGGGUUGUAAACUGCUUUUAUAUGUGACGAAUAUGACGGUAGCAUAUGAAUAAGGAUCGGCUAACUCCGUGCCUGCUUUCGCGGUCAUACGGAGGAUCCAAGCGUUAUCCGGAAUUACUGGGCGUAAAGAGUUGCGUACGCGGCAUAGUAAGCAGAUAGUGAAUGCGUGUGGCUCAACCAUACUCACAUUAUCUGAACUGCUAAGCUAGAGGACGAGAGAUGUCACUGGAAUUCCUAGUGUAGGAGUGAAAUCCGUAGAUAUUAGGAGGAACACCAAUGGCUUAGGCAGGUGACUGGCUCGUUCCUGACGCUCAGGCAC
rnacentral:rRNA from 1 species